GGCGGCGUGCAUAACACAUGCAAGUCGAACGAUGAAACUUACUAGACUUCUUCGGAAAGACCCUAAGCGGAUUANUGGCGAACGGGUGACUAACGCGUGAGUAACCUGCCUUACACAAGGGGAUAACCUUGGACCGAAGAAUAUACCCUAUUAACCCUAAAAGCCCAUGCUAAAAAUGGUCCACUGAUUUCGGUGUCGAUGGACUNCGUCNGANUAACCUACUUGGGUGAGAUUCAGGGCUCCCCACGGCACCCAAUCCUUCCCCGGCUUUUGAGAAAAAUUUUUUUCCGGCCCCAUUGGGGACCUCGAACCUCGGCCCCCGA
rnacentral:rRNA from 1 species